UACGGGGGGGGGCAAGCGUUGUUCGGAAUUACUGGGCGUAAAGGGCUCGUAGGCGGCCAACUAAGUCAGACGUGAAAUCCCUCGGCUUAACCGGGGAACUGCGUCUGAUACUGGAUGGCUUGAGAUUGGGAGAGGGAUGCGGAAUUCCAGGUGUAGCGGUGAAAUGCGUAGAUAUCUGGAGGAACACCGGUGGCGAAGGCGGCAUCCUGGACCAACACUGACGCUGAGGAGCGAAAGCCAGGGGGAGCAAACGGG
rnacentral:rRNA from 1 species